UACGUAGGGGGCAAGCGUUGUCCGGAAUCAUUGGGCGUAAAGAGCGUGUAGGCGGUUCGGUAAGUCGGCUGUGAAAGUCCAGGGCUCAACCCUGGGAUGCCGGUCGAUACUGCCGGACUAGAGUUCGGAAGAGGCGAGUGGAAUUCCCGGUGUAGCGGUGAAAUGCGCAGAUAUCGGGAGGAACACCUAUGGCGAAGGCAGCUCGCUGGGACGUUACUGACGCUGAGACGCAAAAGCGUGGGGAGCAAACAGG
rnacentral:rRNA from 1 species